rnacentral:rRNA from 1 species
UGGGGAAUAUUGCACAAUGGGCGCAAGCCUGAUGCAGCCAUGCCGCGUGUAUGAAGAAGGCCUUCGGGUUGUAAAGUACUUUCAGCGGGGAGGAAGGUGUUGUGGUUAAUAACCUCAGCAAUUGACGUUACCCGCAGAAGAAGCACCGGCUAACUCCGUGCCAGCAGCCGCGGUAAUACGGAGGGUGCAAGCGUUAAUCGGAAUUACUGGGCGUAAAGCGCACGCAGGCGGUCUGUCAAGUCGGAUGUGAAAUCCCCGGGCUCAACCUGGGAACUGCAUCCGAAACUGGCAGGCUUGAGUCUUGUAGAGGGGGGUAGAAUUCCAGGUGUAGCGGUGAAAUGCGUAGAGAUCUGGAGGAAUACCGGUGACGAAGGCGGCCCCCUGGACAAAGACUGACGCUCAGGUGCGAAAGCGUGGGGAGCAAACA